AACGAAGUAAGAAGUGCGCGACGGUUCUAAAUUUUUCUGCUUAAAAUAUUUUUGAGUCUAAGAAUAAAAUUGUUACGAAUAAAAGGAGGUGACAUAUACAUACGGUGUUAAAAGUAAAAAUUUACGAGUGUAAAAUUGGCUAAAGCUAAAGGCACGAAAUUUGUUAAAAGCUAAUUAAAAAGUGUACACACGAUAAAAAGGUAAUUUAUAUGAAACGUUAUAAAAUGCUGGUAUAGGUUAGGGUCGAUAAGGAAUGUGGCCGAUUUUCUAAUAUUGCUGGGUAGGUUCCCAGUGAACCUUUUUAUCUCGGGCUUCGGAUCUACGUCCGUAAGUCGCUCUAUUCACAGAAAUUAUCAUCGAAGACCGUAUCUGAAUAAGCCAUCUAUCACGGCGAAGAAGACUCAACGCAGAUAAGGACCAGCGGACAGAUUGUACACGGCUCUCAGACGCUAUUACGAGAGCAAUAUCGCACCUGCUGAUAGAAUUCGGCCCUACACCACGUGGUCAAUUCCGUCACGACAAGGCAGCUUUCACAUCACAUCCACGUGAUUGCCUCCGAGAAACGACAACUACAUCGGUUCCCGUAACGACACGCUAAUAUCCAGUAUCGACUUCAACUACUACAAGCAGUCGACAGCAGUCCCGGAAACCUAGCCCGAGAUCACCCUAGCACACCAGCAUAACUUAAAACCCAAACCGCAAGUAGAACGUAGUGACGUCACGUAGGUUAAGAGUUCAUGUUAGCAAUUAAGAAU